GGACUACAGGGGUAUCUAAUCCUGUUUGCUCCCCGCACUUUCGCGCCUCAGCGUCAGUCAUCGGCUAGAAGUUCGCCUUCGCCACCGGUGUUCUUCCUGAUAUCUACAGAUUUCACCCCUACACCAGGAAUUCCAACUCCCCCUCCAUGACUCUAGUUUCUCAGUUUCCAACGCAGUUCAUGGGUUAAGCCCAUAGCUUUCACGUCAGACUUCUUAAACCGCCUACGCGCCCUUUACGCCCAAUAAUUCCGAACAACGCUCGCCCCUUACGUGUUACCGCGGCGGCUGGCAC
rnacentral:rRNA from 1 species